GGUCCAUUAGCUCAGGUGGUUAGAGCGGCGUGCUAAUAACGCGCAGGUCGCAAGUUCAAAUCUUGCAUGGACCA
rnacentral:tRNA from 1 species